GCCUUCGUGGUAUAGUGAUCAGCACGCUCGACACGUAACUGAGAGGUCCAUGGUUCGAUUCCCGGCGAAGGUG
rfam:Stegodyphus mimosarum contig82984, whole genome shotgun sequence.